CAAAAACAUCGCCUCUUGCCUCAAACAUAAGAGGUCCAGCCUGCCCAGUGACUAUUGUUCAACGGCCGCGGUAUCCUAACCGUGCGAAGGUAGCGUAAUCACUUGUUCUUUAAAUGAGGACUAGUAUGAAUGGCAUCACGAGGGUUAUACUGUCUCCUCUCUCUAAUCAGUGAAACUAAUCUCCCCGUGAAGAAGCGGGGAUGAAAUUAUAAGACGAGAAGACCCUAUGGAGCUUUAAGUAAAUCUUCAAACGCUUGUAUACCCUAACAGUCAUAGACCCUUAAAAUUAACUUUAGCGCCAUGAAGAUGAACUUUAGGUUGGGGUGACCACGGAGUACAAAAAAACCUCUACGCUGAACAAGUCUCAAAGCCUUGAGUAAAGGGCCACAACCCGAUACACUAAUAAACUAACACCAAUUGACCCAAUAAUCCUUUGAUCAACGAACCAAGUUACCCUAGGGAUA
rnacentral:rRNA from 1 species